CUGCUGACACCAUUUUCUGGUAUUGUAUGAGUGUGGGUCUCUUUCCGACAGUAAUGCCGGUAGCUUUGCAGCGAGGUCGGCGUGCACGUCACCGGGGCACCAAUUGCCCUUAACUCGGUUCCAUAUCAAAUCGGACUUGAGACACCAGUGCUGGAAAGGGACCGGAGUGGCGGAGUCUCCACAGGGGGCGGCGUUUGCGCAAGCUUUUCCAUUUCGUUGGGUAGGGGCGUUGUCCAGGCUAUUGUAGAACAUCCACACGU
rnacentral:lncRNA from 1 species